rnacentral:lncRNA from 1 species
UUGGUGAAUGGAAGACUGAUGACAACUUAAAAUUUUAAAGAAUUACAAGAAUUAGAGAAGAAAGAACAUAAUAUUUAUAGUGGUUCGGGUAUUAACAAACCCCACAUCCACUUUCUAAUAUCCAAAUAGGUGUUUCACUAACAUGUCACAUAAUAUAAUGCAGUUUUAUACAAGCUCACUCCCAACUUAGUGUUUAGGGCUCACACCUAACCUUAUACUUUUGUUUAAGGCUCACACACAACCUUACAAGAGUGAUUCCUAAAUGCUAACUCUUAAACCCAACCCAAGUAUUUAAGCUAAUACUCAAACCUUUACAAGAGCAUUCAAAGCUCUAUAACAACCUUUACAAGGUUUAG